UACGUAGGGUGCGAGCGUUGUCCGGAAUUAUUGGGCGUAAAGGGCUCGUAGGCGGUCUGUCGCGUCGGCUGUGAAAACCCGGAGCUCAACUCCGGGCCUGCAGUCGAUACGGGCAGACUGGAGUUCGGCAGGGGAGACUGGAAUUCCUGGUGUAGCGGUGAAAUGCGCAGAUAUCAGGAGGAACACCGGUGGCGAAGGCGGGUCUCUGGGCCGAUACUGACGCUGAUGCACGAAAGCGUGGGGAGCAAACAGG
rnacentral:rRNA from 1 species